AAGAUCAUACUUCACAGGAUCAUUUCUGUAGUAUAUCUUCACAUACUCUCUACUCAACUGUAGAGUUAUCGCAACCAUGAUGAGGAGACAAAGCGUCGUACUCUGAGCGUGAGGCAGACAUGUCGAAAAUCUUACGAUUUUUAACAUUGUCAACGAUGAUCGUUCACUUAUCAAUUCUGUUGAUAAGCAAUGGGUAUGAGGCAGUCUGAGUGGU
rnacentral:snoRNA from 1 species